rnacentral:rRNA from 1 species
UACGGGGGGAGCAAGCGUUGUUCGGAUUUACUGGGCGUAAAGGGCGCGUAGGCGGCCACCGCAAGUCAGUUGUGAAAUCUCUGGGCUUAACCCAGAACGGUCAGCUGAUACUGCGGGGCUAGAGUGCAGAAGGGGCAACUGGAAUUCUCGGGUGUAGCGGUGAAAUGCGUAGAUAUCGAGAGGAACACCUGCGGCGAAGGCGGGUUGCUGGGCUGACACUGACGCUGACAGCGCGAAAGCUAGGGGAGCGAACGGG